rnacentral:rRNA from 1 species
CAUGCAAGUGGAGCGACGAACCGGGGCUUGCCCCGGGGCAGAGCCGCGAACGGGUGAGUAACACGUGGGUAACCUACCCCGAUGACCGGGACAACCCGAGGAAACUCGGGCUAAUACCGGAUGUGCUCCUUGACUGUGAGGUCAAGGCGUAAAGAUAGCUUCGGCCUUCGCAUCGGGACGGGCCCGCGGCCCAUUAGCUUGUUGGUGGGGUAACGGCCUACCAAGGCGACGAUGGGUAGCUGGUCUGAGAGGACGAUCAGCCACACUGGGACUGAGACACGGCCCAGACUCCUACGGGAGGCAGCAGUGGGGAAUCUUGCGCAAUGCGCGAAAGCGUGACGCAGCAACGCCGCGUGGGGGAAGAAGGCCUUCGGGUUGUAAACCCCUUUCAGUUGGGACGAAGCUUCGCCGGUUAAUAGCCGGCUGGAGUGACGGUACCUUCACAAGAAGCCCCGGCUAACUACGUGCCAGCAGCCGCGGUAAUACGUAGGGGGCUAGCGUUGUCCGGAAUCAUUGGGCGUAAAGCGCGUGUAGGCGGUUCGGUAAGUCCGCUGUGAAAGUCGGGGGCUCAACCCUCGAAAGCCGGUGGAUACUGUCGGGCUAGAGUACGGAAGAGGCGAGUGGAAUUCCUGGUGUAGCGGUGAAAUGCGCAGAUAUCAGAGGAACACCAAUUGCGAAGGCAGCUCGCUGGGACGUUACUGACGCUGA